UCCGAGCCUUUGUUUGACUUGAUGGAGU
rnacentral:piRNA from 1 species